GGGCGCUGCGCGCCCAUGCUCCGCGCCGUCCUGGUGCCUCGCACCCUGCGCCGCCCCCGCGGCUGGCCGGGCGGCGGGCCCCGCCUGCGGGCCGCCCCGGGGCUGCUGCUGGGACGGGGCCGGCCCCUGCGGGCGGCUGUGGCGCCGGGCGCUCGGGGGAUGUGCUGGGCGGGUAAACUUUGCAGGCGUUUCACAACGGAGGCCUCUCAAGCCACCUUAGCCAGCGUAUCUCCUGUGUUUGCAGUGAUGAAGCUUGACAAAGAGGGAAAUGCUACCUUUUUUGAGAAAAAGAAAACAGAAUUGUACCAGGAACUGGGUCUUCAAGCUCGAGAUCUAAGAUUUCAGCACCUCAUGAGCAUUGCAACUAGGAACAACAGGAUCAUCAUGAGGAUGGAGUUCUUGAAGGCUGUCAUUACACCAGAGUUUCUUCUGAUACUAGAUUAUCGUAAUUUAAAUCUGGAACAUUGGCUCUUCACUGAACUAGCAUCUCAGCUGUCUGGGGAAGGUCAACUAGUUACAUAUUCCCUGCCCUUUGAAUUUCGAGCCAUAGAAGCAAUACUGCAGUACCGGAUCAGCAGACUGCAAGGGAGACUUAAUACUUUGCAGCCUCAGAUCCUUGAGACACUGGAAGCUCUAGUGGAUCCCAAGCUUUUGUCUGUGGAUAGGAGUAAACUCCACAUUCUCCUGCAAAAUGGCAAGAGCUUAUCAGAACUGGAAACAGACCUUAAAGUUUUCAAAGAAACAAUUCUGGAGAUCUUAGAUGAAGAAGAAUUAAUAGAAGAGCUCUGUCUGUCUAAAUGGACUGAUCCGCAAGUAUUUGAGGAGAGCACAUCUGGGAUUGACCACGCAGAAGAAAUGGAGUUGCUGCUGGAGAACUAUUACAGACAGGCAGAAGAUCUUGCGAAUGAAGCUCGUGAGCUCAGAGUAUUGAUUGAUGACUCAGAAAGUAUAAUAUUUAUCAACCUGGACAGCCACCGUAAUGUGAUGAUGAGAUUGAAUCUGCAGCUGACUAUGGGGACUUUCUCUCUCUCCCUCUUUGGACUCAUAGGAGUUGCAUUUGGUAUGAACUUGGAGUCAUCUCUUGAAGAGGACCCCAGAAUCUUUUGGCUGGUGACCGGGAUUAUGUUUCUGGGAAGUGGCCUGAUAUGGCGGCGUUUGCUUUCCUUCCUUGGGCGGCACCUGGAACCUUCAUUACCUCCUCAUGAGCCCAAGGGAAGCUGAGGAUUAUGGGAGAAGCAGCCCUAACCUGCCUUCUCAGCUGCUGCAGCAGUCUCUUCUUAGUGGGGAACAUAAGGGAUGUUGCUCUCCUACUCCCACCUGCAUGCUAACUCUGGAUCUGUGAUCCCUUUCUCAUAAGAGAUGAAGAUAAAAGGAAGAUAAGGACAGGUUCCCGCAGUUUUGAAAAAAUCCCAACCAGCAGCUCGAAGAGUGGAGAUAAAGAACAACCUUAAAGCAGAAACAUUCGGGCUGAGCAGAAGCGCACUGACAAACCAAUAGGAACAGUAGGAAUGAAGAGAUACGUAUUGUUACAGGGUGGACUUUGGACACUAUCCUUUUGUUUGUUCUUCCUUACUGAAAAUGUUAAGAAUUUAUAGAAUUGCUAAUUUAAUACAUAUUUUGGGCUAAAAACCUAUGGCAAGAUUUUAAUGCUCGCACACAAAAGGAGAGAAACUGAAGGGAAAACAGUGACAUGUUUUCCACAGUAGUCUCGCCUCCACCCCAUGUAUGUUCUGUUAGAUUUCCGUAUUGCAUACACACAUUUCAAGCGUUUCUUUCCAACACUUCUUUGUGUAAUGGCAUUUCUUAAAGAGCAGCAUUCUCAGCUUAAGGAUGACAGCAGUCAGCAUUCAUCAGUAAUUCUGGUUCUGAGCUGCAUGGUUUAGGAAUCUGCCUUCAACUACCUACCAAAGAAAAAUCUACCCCCCAAAGUGUCCUUUUUAUUUAUUUUUUUUAAAGCUCUGCUAAUUAAAGAGAAUUGAUUUUCAAAAGCCAAAA